GAGAAAAAUGACUGCUACUGCUGAACCCAGGACACAGUUAACCAUAAUUUCACAUGAAAUCUGUAUUGAGAUCGCAAAAAUGUUAUGUCCCAUGAAAGGGAAAAGGAAAAUAAUAAGGAUUUUCUUUUUACAGUAGAACUAAACGCUCACUGGAAAAUAUUAUAUGCUUACUUCAAUAUUACUGCUAUUUUUCAUACUGCCUAGCAGAAGUUAAGGGUGCAUCUUCAAAGCUGGCUUAGGCCAGUCUAGCUGUGUCACCACAGAGAGGGCAGGCCCUUCCUCCCCCACUGCUGCCUAUUCCUUUAACAACGGGCUGAAGAGUUGUUAAUGGUGAAGCAAGGUUAGCAAGUACUGGUGCACUACAGGGAUGAAGAAGGGCAGAACAGUAUUUCAGCAGUAGUCUGAUAGUUCUGUUCAAGGUGGUUUUAAAACCCCAGGGUGAGUCUCCAUCUCAGUAAGCACUAUGCAAAAAUUCUUGCACAGAUUUUGAAAUGAGCUGGUUUUUUUUUGCUGGCUUUUGGAUUCUCUUCUCUUUUACUUUGCAGUCCUUACUGCCCAGUUUGUUACCUCAGAUUAUUUGGGACAGUGAUAAAUGUUCACUUGCUGCUGCAACUAAGAGACUUCAUAAGGAACUGGGUCCCACUGCAGGUGUUAAGUAAAACAUUUCAUCUGUUCUCAGGUCUGCAAACUGGAAUCAUAAUGCUUAGUCUUUGCUUUCUUCUCACUUAGUCUGGUUAGGAAACAAAAGCAAAAUGCUGCCUAUUUGUGUGCUGCACUAUUGCAUUCACACUCUCAUAGUCAUUGCUCUGGUUAAUCUGCUUUCUGUUUUGCUGGUUGUUUAUCACAAAUGAGUGUCUCUUAGGAGACUCAGAAGAAUGUUUUUUACCUUGUGUUUCAUUCUCUGAAUAGGAGAAUAAAAAGUGCAUGCCAGGUAAACCUAUGCUCCCUGUUCCACAUUGCCUCUCUUUUCACUGCAGCUAAUUUACGCGCAGUGAAAAGAGGAGCAGUGCUUAAGUGCUGAAGUGCUAGUGUGCUGUGGCAUUUCAGCUCCAUGUGUUUAAAGUGGCCUUUAGAUGUGCUCAAAUUUUCUGCAAAAUUCCAGCCUCUGAAGCAUCUCUUCAUCCCUGACAUUUUUUUGUUCUUAUUUUUAUAAGUGGUGUCAAUUGCUUUGCUUUGUGAUCUGUGAUAGAGAGGCAUCUGGAGUUCCAGAAUGUAAUUACCUGAAAUUAUGUUUUAUUUUGCUCACUAAAAGAAGGCUUCUAAUUUUUUGAUGCUAGGUGGUGUAUUUAUAUUUAUUUCUUUUGCUUCCUUUGUUGUUUGCAAACUAUUCUUAUGCACUGUUUCCAUGCACUGUGUUUUGUCCUGGAAAGAUAGGCAUUACAAAUUUUUGUUGCCUACAGAGAAGGGAUAAUUUUAAAGAAACAUUUUAAUGAUAGCAAGUAGACAGUGGUCUGUGCUUAAGCACAAGGACCAAUACAGGCAAAGUGUAUUGUCUCGUCUUUACUCUUCUGCAAAGAUAGAUUUUUUUUAGUAUUACUGACAAAUGCAUAGGAGAUUAACCUGUUUUCUUAAUGGUAAUUUAAAAUGAUAAUAUAAUCUGCCCUGUGUAAUGCUCUCUUACCCAGAGGAAAUGAAAACAGCUUUAGUAUGAAAAAGCAACGUCUAGUUGCCCUCACUGAUAUUACACAGCCAUUAAUGGAAGCCUUCACUAUUUCCCUCUGCAGGAGUCCCUCCUGAAGACUUUGUGUGUGGGGGCGAGACAGUUAGUUUCUGGAAAUAUGCCAUAGCUAAGGAGAGAGGGAUAGUGCUUAGAUUUUCAGUGUGCUUAGGCAAGGCCCCUCAAGGUAGUAUUUACUGUUAUGACAUCAGUGGUGUGAAGGUGGUGGAAUAUGUCAGUGCAUCCAGCCCUUUUGUUUUUUUUGGACUAAAACUGAUCUUAGUGGGGGGCACUGAAAGAAACAAGCAUGUUUUGGAAAUCCUCCAUGGGGUAGUCUUUUCAUCACCACAGCUUAGUGGUAAAGUUCUUGCUACAGCCAGGAAUAAUAAAACAGCAGGGUGCUGGUAGCUGAAUGAAAACAACAUCUAUUUUGGUAACUACUGAACUUGCUGAGGGCUUGAAAGGGAUGACAACUUUUUAUGUUAAAGACUCCCCUCAUGGCUGAUGUGCCUUCUGGAGAAGGAACAUCCAUAAGCAGCUUGGUCUGGGGCAGGCCAGUCAUUCUGCAAAGCCAACUUGUUUGCAUUUGGCAUACCCCUGGAGCAGGGGUUCUAAGAACUCCCUUUCCCAGCUGGGAAACAAAUACACAAAGCAAUUUUUACUUACUUAUUUUUAAUGAAG